rnacentral:lncRNA from 1 species
AAGGGAGAUCGGGCCGUGUGAGCUUUCCUCAGGAGUGAGCAAAAACAGGAACGUGCCUGCAGAGGGAGGAGUUCCCAAAGAGGAAACGGCGCAGGAACAGCAAAUGCAGAGAGGAUGCACACUCUGAAGAGGGCAGGCAGCUUCUGCACCGAGGGAGCAAAGGGGCGUGUCAGGGGCAGCUGCUGGAAGGAGGCGCAAGCACCACGGAGAGUCUGGGAUGCCCAGCCAAGGAGCCCUGGAAGGGUUGCCCUGGGGACUGACACUGUGGGCUCUGUGUUUUAGCCAAGUCACCCAGGCAGCUGAACAGAAGAUGGACUGGAGGGAGAAGCCUGGAUGUAGGAUCGCUCAGCAACAAAGGAGCCAGAAAAGGCAAGGUGUACACACCGUGUGCAGCAUGGGCGAGCUGCAGGCAUGCAGGUAAGAGUGUGUGCAUGCAGGUGUGUGCACACGAGUUUGCAUGUGCUGAUGCAGAUGGCUAUGAUGCGUGGUGGUGAUAUAUACAUGUGGAUGCUUAUGGAUCUGUGCCAACCAUUAUUAAGCACAUAUGUAUACCCGUGUGUGUAUAUGCAUGCAUGUGUUUGUGUGAGUUGCAAUGUGUAUACAACUUUACACAAUAAGUGAAUUGAGUACAUGUACCUGUUUAUCCACGGAAGUGUAUGAUGACUGGACAUAUGUAAAUAUGUGUAUUUGCAUGUGUUUAUACUUUGUGCAUAGAUGCAUGUUUGUGUAUUUAUGCUGAUCCAUUUAAGCGUAUGGGAUGUGUGUGGAUGUUUGUGUAACAUCUGUACAUACUCCAUAGGUGCAUCUUAAUACAGGAAUAUGGGUGCGAUGUGUAUGUGUGUGUGUGUGCCUGUGUGAACAGGUGCGGCUGGAGGUCUAUGAGUGUGUGGAUAGGUAUAUUUGCCUGUGCGCAUGUGCGAUUCACGUGGUGUGAGUGCACAUGGUCGCAGGCAAAUGUCUGUGUGGGCACACACAUGCCCUGUUGCCCUUUUCUGUCUUUUCCUGUUGGGAAAUUACAGAACUUCUGAGUCCUAACCAUGGCUGGUGGCUCUUCCAGGAACAUGGUUUCCUGGACCCAAAAGGUAAGCUUGUCAGGGACCCACGUGAAUGAGGAAGUGGGUGGGCCUGAGUCUGGGGCUCCUCUGAGAACUGCUGUGGACCAGGGAAAUCUUGCUGCCACCUCUGGUCUUUAGUCCACCUCUCAGUAGUAGCUUUCAAAGCUUGAUUUUUUUGGAGGCGUCUCCACGGAGCAUAGUCCUAAGCUCCUAGCCUACAUUGUCCCUGUUCCUGGGCCUGUUUGGUUGACAUUCUCUUACAGUUUAAAAAAGACAUCCACAUCCGUACUCUUAGCUAAUCCUUGUGACCUUUCUUCUAGUCUGUUUGGAGAGGCUGGGAGCAGAGUGGUUAAAAGAGCCAGGCCUGGUUCCAUUUCUGACCCCUCUUCUAGCUGAGCAACUUCCGCCUCUUCCAGCCUCCCUCACGGGAAUCACAGAUCACGUGAGAUGACACCCAUGAAGGGCUUGACUGGCAUCUGGCACAUGGUGAGGACUGCAAAAAUGUGGGCUAUUGUUUUUACUAUUAUCCCCAUUUUAUAGAUGAGGAAACUGAGGCUUGGAGAGGCUCUCUGCCUUUGUCAACCUGGAGAUGCUGGGAAGGAAGUGAGGCCCAUCCCACCUCAGAUGCCUGUCCUCUGUCGUCAGGAGCAUUCUCUUGUUCUUCCGGGCUUGGCCAAGCGGUGGUAAACCCCACAUGUGGUUCUGUGGUUGCCCACACAGUCCUAAAAAUAGCCAACAGGAACCCAGGGGCUCCCCCUUGGUGAGUGGCAGCAGGCCCAGUCCUCAGGCAGCCACCAACCUGCUCACUCCCCACAGGCAAGCAGGUCCUGUCUAGGAAGGGGCUGGGUGGCCUGGGUCCCAUGCAUGAUGAGCCAGAGGCUGUGCCAAGCUUAUAGCAAAUAUUAUUUUAUUUCAUUAUGUUUUCUUACAUCUGUGAUGUGGAGGCCAUAGCUCCACUGGACUCAUGAGGAGACUGAGGCUCAGAGCAAUGAAGUGACCUGCUCAAAGUUAAGGAGCUUCAGUUUGGACCCAAUUUGUUCUGAUCCUAAGGUCACUAUCCUUAAUCCCUCUCCCUGUGGGGUCUUCCCUAUCUUGAGCCUGUGGACAGCUGUGCAGUGGCAAGAAAAAGGCCUUCAGAGCUACGCAGACCUGGCUUCAAAUCCCAGCCUCCCUGAUGAGCCCUGGUGGUCUUGCAUGCUUGCCCUUGGGACUCAGACACCAUAUUGUGAGGAAGCCCAAGCUACAUGCAGAGGCCACUAUAGUUGUUCUGGCCAACAGCCCAAGCUUCAGCUGCCAGACAUAUAAAUAAACCAACUCUUCAAAUGAUUUCAGUUUCCAGACUUCAGUGCAUCCCAGGUAAUGUCCAGAGGAGCAGAGAUGAACCAUCCUCUCUGAGCCCUGCCCAAAUGCAGACUUGAGAACAAACUAAAUGUCAUUGUCUCAAGCCACCAAUUUUCAGGGUGGCUUGGUACACAGCACCAGGUAACAGGAAUAGCCCCCCUCUUCCUCUGCAGCUCUCCCCAGGUACAGGCAAGCUCCCCAACCCAUGCUUCAUCCCCACCCCACAGACAGAACCUGGAGUCAGUCCUCCCACCCACAACUGUGCCUUCCAAACUAAGCUCAAAGCCCAGCUCUGUUGCUUUCAGAUGGGUGCCCUAGGGCAAGUCACCAACCCUAUAUGACAAAUCCCUCUGUGUCAAAUGGGAAUUAUAAUAGUGCCCCUGAGGAGUCUUGGAGAGAUUUAAUAAAGUGCCUGGAACAUAAUGAGUGCUCAUUAAGUGGACGCAGGGACAUGAGGCUUGGGAAAAAGGAAGGGGUCAAAGACGUCACCCCAGUCUCUGACUGGGAGGGAGAGAG